UAGAAAUAUUAUUAUAUAAUAUUUUAUUUAUAAAUUUGUAAUUAUUUAUUAAUAUUUUUAAAUAUAUAACUCUUAUAUAUUAUUAAUAUAUGUUUAUUAUAAUUUUAAAUAUAUUUAAUAUAUAUAUAUAAAUUAUAAUAAUAAUAUAUAUAGUAUAUUAAUUAUUAUAUAUUUAUUAUAUAGCCGAAUUUUUUAUUCUAAAUUUUUAAUUGGUGAACGUAUAAUAUCCGUAUAAAUCAUGUAUCCGAAUAAUUACCGAAUCCGAUUUUUAACCGUAUUUUCCAACAAAUUUAAAAAUUAAAAGACGAAUUUUAUCUGAAUUAUAUCCGUACCGAAUUUUUGCCGAAUCCGAAUUAACUAACUAUGACUCUAUCAUGACUUCACUUUAUUAGAAAAUUUUAAAAAUUUUUAUACAAAGUAAACCGGAAAAAAGGAAAAAAAAUAAAGUGAUCAAUUACAAAGAAUAGAAUAGAAAAAGGUCACGAUUUCAAAGCUUAGUGGGUUUUAUUUUCCUCUUUAAUAGAGAUACUUACGUUUGGUUCGGGACAGGGGGAAUAAGCCCUUGUUUCCCCCUUUGUUCCCAAAUGUCGCGUUUGGUGUAAGGUACCGAACUUCUAAAAUUAUGAAGUUGCGGGGUAUGUUGGUUUGGAAAGCCAUUAGAAUGAUUCCGGUGAAGUUCGGAAGCAUUCGGGCGUUUUCGGGGCGCGUAGGCGCGAAAACGGGACCCGAAAGGCUAUGUUGGAUCAUGGACUAAAUCCGGCAUUAGCGCGGAUGAAAAGAUGAUGAAAAUACGCUCGAAAACAUGUUUGGAGAGUCUCGGUUCGAUUUGAAAAGAAUCGGAAGCUAAACAAGCGAAAACGAGCGAAAACGGAGAAGAAACGAAAAAGGUUGAAAUUUGGCUAAGUCCUAAAAAUGCUGAAAUUCUGGACCUACGGGGACCGGUCCCUCAAGUCCAAGGACCAGUCCCUUAUACAAAAAAUUACCCCGCGCGGGCAGUGCAUAAAACAC
rnacentral:lncRNA from 1 species